GCCAACGCCAACAUCACGGACGUCAUCGCUUCCAAUUCCUGGAUACGUUUUUCUAAAUUUUUUAUUUUCUUCUCAUGUUUUCUAAUUAAUCUUUUUACAUGGAUAUCUGUCUGCUGGACCACGGGGACCUAACCUGAAAUGAUGUUUUAUAUUGGACAAUGGACCGCUCGAAACGCCACUCGCACCCAUUUUCAACGUUGGAACUAUUUGGCAUAUCCAUUUUCUGGCACUGUCGAUAAAGUCUCUCCCCUUGGUGCGUGUCUGUGCUGCGCUUAUGAUUUUCGUGUUGUGUAAUUUUACAUAAUAUAUUUUUGCAAUAUUAAUAAGUUCAAUUACUGUACACCGUACAUGCAAUAAUAAAAUUCAAUUGCAUAAUUUUA